UCCGGUUUAUCACCGGCAGUCUCCAUAGAGUUCUCGGCUUGACCCGUUAGUAACUAUGAAUAAGGGUUGCGCUCGUUGCGGGACUUAACCCAACAUCUCACGACACGAGCUGACGACAGCCAUGCAGCACCUGUGCACGAUCUCCGAGGAGGGGCUCUCGUUUCUGAGAGCUUGCUCGUGCAUGUCAAGCCUAGGUAAGGUUCUUCGCGUUGCGUCGAAUUAAACCACAUGCUCCACCGCUUGUGCGGGCCCCCGUCAAUUCCUUUGAGUUUCAGGCUUGCGCCCGUACUCCCCAGGUGGGAUACUUAUCACUUUCGCUUAGCCACUCAGGUUGUUCUGAACAGCUAGUAUCCAUCGUUUACGGCGUGGACUAC
rnacentral:misc_RNA from 1 species